UACGUAUGGUGCAAGCGUUAUCCGGAUUUACUGGGUGUAAAGGGUGAGUAGGCGGUCAUGCAAGUCAUAUGUGAAAUGUCAGGGCUUAACCUUGGCGCUGCAUAAGAAACUGUAUGACUAGAGUGCAGGAGAGGUAAGCGGAAUUCCUAGUGUAGCGGUGAAAUGCGUAGAUAUUAGGAAGAACACCGGUGGCGAAGGCGGCUUACUGGACUGUUACUGACGCUGAGUCACGAAAGCGUGGGGAGCAAACAGG
rnacentral:rRNA from 3 species